rnacentral:rRNA from 1 species
UUCUAAAAUUUAUAGUAGAAUUUUAUUUUUUAGUCAAAAAGCUAAAAUUUAUUUAAAAGACGAGAAGACCCUAUAAAUCUUUAUAUUUAGGUUAUUAUAAUUGUAUAGAUUUUUUUUGUUAUAAUAAUUAAUAAUAUUUUAUUGGGGUGAUAUUAAAAUUUAAUGAACUUUUAAUUAUUAAAAACAUUAAUUUAUGAAUAAUUGAUCCAUUAUUAGUGAUUAAAAAAAUAAGUUACCUUAGGGAUAACAG